GGUGCCUGCGAUCCCCAAAACCCCAAAGGGCGUUUUUUACAGUGCUCUUUUAGCUCUGCUGACCGCGGAUGGCUUAAGUGUUAACAGCUCAGUGGGCCCUUUGCCUUUUCUCAUGAGUCGGCUGCCCUGUGCCAGCAAGGGCAAAGGGCCAGUGUAACAGCCUUUUGUAUCUGCACUCGUGGCUCCUGAGCUCCUGUUCGGCACACAGGAAAAAUGAGGUCGCACCAACAAACUGAAGGAUGGUAAAUGUUGAGGAUUUUAUUGCCAAUGAAAGCGGCUGUCACUGGGAGCUGAAAAGGUAAUGGAAAGCUGAAAAGCGGAUAAGGUGGGUAGGUACCUGAAGUCUGGCCAUCUACGGCAGCUGGAUUCUUCUCCAAAGUUAUACUGUCAAGCUGUCCCUCUGAAGCCAAGCCACUUCUCUUUGACAUCCAGCCGUAGUCUCUGCUCCUCUCCAACUGAGUAUGAGGGAGAUGUUUCCUAUUAUCCUUGAUAAUGUGCCAUGAACAUAUGAAAAAACAUAGAAACAUGAAGAAAACAAGAAGACAAAAAUCACUAACAUCUGGUUGGCUGUAUAGAAACAAAGCUGAUUCUGGUCUCGCUCUAUACCCCAGGUUGGAGUGCAGUGGUAAG
rnacentral:lncRNA from 1 species